UAACCUGCCUAUUAGAGGGGGAGUAAUAUUGGAAACGAUAGCUAAUACCGCAUAACAGUAUGUAACACAUGUUAGAUGCUUGAAAGAUGCAAUUGCAUCGCUAGUAGAUGGACCUGCGUUGUAUUAGCUAGUAGGUAGGGUAAUGGCCUACCUAGGCGACGAUACAUAGCCGACCUGAGAGGGUGAUCGGCCACACUGGGACUGAGACACGGCCCAG
rnacentral:rRNA from 1 species